rnacentral:lncRNA from 1 species
AGCGUUCGGCGCCCUGCAGACUCCGCCUUCUCGAGUUCUGGGCGGUGCUCACCGCGGCUUACUACUCUUCAGGCAAAGCGACAGAAUCAGGAGGUGUAGAGGCAUUCUUUGAGUGUUCUUGUCGGUUCUGUUUUGGAAGCCUCAGAAUCUUCUUGGGUUGGCUCAGAUUGCUGCAAAGUAAAAGCUGUAUUUCGGUGGGGCCGGAGAGGCACAGUCCUUCGUAGGACUCUGGCCCGCGUCCUGGCUCCGUCCCGUGCUGCCUUCGGACUUCGCCGAGCCUUAUUAUCUGAAAUUUUCACGUCGGGAAGGGAUCGUAGUCUACUGAGAGCUGUUCUGAGCCCAGAGGAGUUGUGUGGUGCUAAAUAGCUGUUCACCUCCCUUACACUGGAAAGCGUUGUAAUGAUAAGCCUACCUAACCUGUCAGGGAUUUUUUCUGGAAACCUUUUAAGACAGUUCAUAUUUAUUGAGUUCUGAGUGUUAGGCUAUGUUCCAAGGGGCUUUUUAAAAUCCUCGUAGCAACCCUGUGAAAUCAGAAAUUGCCCUCGUUUUACAAAUGAGUUGAAUGAGUCCAAGUAAAAGGUUAAGCAGUUUGUCUAGUAAGCUGGGAUUUGUUUCCAGUCUAGUUCCAGAUUGCAUGCUUUUAAAUACAUACUAGGCUCCAUGCAUAGAAUCUAGUACUAUUCACCAAUCCUGUUAAUUGGUAUGUAUUGUUCUUUAGAAAGAAAAAAGGUGUCAGCAUUACUUACGUUUCCAAGCACGUUGAUACUAAAGAGUUAGGAAGGAUUUAACUCCGAAUGGGUAUGGUGUUUUUCUAGGUGAGGUACAAAAACAUGGUGUGGGCAAUGCCAUUUUGGGAUGGCUUGAUCCUUUUGGGCUUCCAUAACAAAAUACCAUAGACUGGGUAGCUUAUGAACCACAGAGGUUUAUUCUUCACAUUUCUGAAGGCUGGAAUGUCACAGAACAAGGUGUGUCUAGGAAGGAGUGCUUUCUGUUCAGUGGAUAGCACCUUCUGACCCUGUCCUCACAUGGUGGAGAGGCAGAGGCCCUCCCUUGGGCCUAUCUUAUAAGGGCCUUUCCUUUCUUCCCAUUCCUCACUUCCCAAGAGGCCACUUGCCAAAACCAUCAGUUUGGGGGUUAGGAUUUCAAAAUGUGAAGUUUGAGGGACAUAUUUAGACCAUAGCAUAGGGCGUGUUUUUAAAGUUGCUUUCUUGGCCCUGGAAUGGCAAUGCAGUCGUCUGAACUGGUCUUAAUCUACCAGGAAUGGGCCUAAAUUUUGAAAAUAUUUCUCGUUAAGGGAGUAAAAUAAGUUUUAUGGGUUUUUUGUUUAAGAAAGGAUUCAUUUAUUUACUCUGAUAUGCUUACCCACUUCUGUGAUGUCAACCAUGGGUAGUGACCUAACAUUAAUUUACUUCAGCAGAUAUCUUUGUCUGCCUUGAAUCCUGCAUCCCCUAGGCUAUUCAAUUGUAUUGAUUCUGUUAACUCUUACACAUUUACUUUCACCUGUGUCUCCUUCCUUUUAUCAUUUUGUGAGUAAAUAAUUUUUAAUUUGCCAACAAAUCCUAAUGUGGACGUAGUCAAGUUGUGAAAUAAAGUGAUUCUUGGUA